rnacentral:rRNA from 1 species
UACGGAGGGGGCUAGCGUUGUUCGGAAUUACUGGGCGUAAAGCGCGCGUAGGCGGAUCUGCAAGUCGGGGGUGAAAUCCCGAGGCUCAACCUCGGAACUGCCUUCGAUACUGCGGGUCUCGAGUCCGGGAGAGGUGAGUGGAAUUCCGAGUGUAGAGGUGAAAUUCGUAGAUAUUCGGAAGAACACCAGUGGCGAAGGCGACUCGCUGGACAAGUAUUGACGCUGAGGUGGCGAAAGCGUGGGGAGCAAACAGG